rnacentral:rRNA from 1 species
ACGGAAGGCAGCAGUGGGGAAUAUUGGACAAUGGGGGAAACCCUGAUCCAGCGACGCCGCGUGAGUGAAGAAGUAUUUCGGUAUGUAAAGCUCUAUCAGCAAGGAAGAAAAUGACGGUACUUGACUAAGAAGCUCCGGCUAAAUACGUGCCAGCAGCCGCGGUAAUACGUAUGGAGCAAGCGUUAUCCGGAUUUACUGGGUGUAAAGGGAGCGUAGACGGCAAAGCAAGUCCGAAGUGAAAUCCCGGGGCUCAACCCCGGAACUGCUUUGGAGACUGUUUAGCUAGAGUGCAGGAGAGGUAAGCGGAAUUCCUAGUGUAGCGGUGAAAUGCGUAGAUAUUAGGAGGAACACCAGUGGCGAAGGCGGCUUUCUGGACUGUAACUGACGCUGAGGUACGAAAGUGUGGGGAGCAAACAGGAUUAGAUACCCUGGUA